rnacentral:rRNA from 1 species
CCCUUAGAUGGUCUGGGCGGCACGCGCGCUACAAUGAUGCAUUCAAAAAGUCUUCUGGCCUUAGAAGGUUGGGUAUUCUCCAAAGUGCAUCGUGAUGGGAAUAGUUUAUUGCAAUUUUUAAUCUUGAACGAGGAAUUCCUAGUAAGUACAGGUCAUCAACUUGUGUUGAUUACGUCCCUGCCCUUUGUACACACCGCCCGUCGCUCCUACUGAUUGAGUGUCUCGGUGAAUUCUUUGAUCUUCUGUCGAUUCAGUUCACUGAUCCGACGGUGGAAAGUUGAAUGAACUUCGUCACUUAGAGGAAGGAGAAGUCGUAACA